rnacentral:rRNA from 1 species
AGCCCAGACUCCUACGGGAGGCAGCAGUGGGGAAUAUUGCACAAUGGGGGAAACCCUGAUGCAGCGACGCCGCGUGAGUGAAGAAGUAUUUCGGUAUGUAAAGCUCUAUCAGCAGGGAAGAAAAUGACGGUACCUGACCAAGAAGCCCCGGCUAACUACGUGCCAGCAGCCGCGGUAAUACGUAGGGGGCAAGCGUUAUCCGGAUUUACUGGGUGUAAAGGGAGCGUAGACGGCUGAGCAAGUCAGAAGUGAAAGCCCGGGGCUCAACCCCGGGACUGCUUUUGAAACUGCGGAGCUGGAGUGCAGGAGAGGUAAGCGGAAUUCCUGGUGUAGCGGUGAAAUGCGUAGAUAUCAGGAGGAACACCAGUGGCGAAGGCGGCUUACUGGACUGUAACUGACGUUGAGGCUCGAAAGCGUGGGGAGCAAACAGGAUUAGAUACCCCCGUAC